CCUGACCAGGACCAGGGUGACCACAGGCUCCCAGAGGAGCGAGCUGGGCGCCCAGGCAGAGGCUCCCUCUGACGUGGCAGGCAGAGCAGCAGGGAGAGGAGGUGGACGGCACCGGGGAGCAAAGCUGAGAGUGAUGCAGCAACAUGGCGGCAGGUGGGCGGAGGCGGGAAGGUUACUGGAGCCAUCGGUGCAGCGGCUUCACAGAUGAGCUCCAGAGACACUCAGCAGCCGGAGCUGGAUGUGAAGAAGUCAAACCUGUAAACACAUUCCAGAUUCAGCACCACAUGUUCAGUCCGUAUCGCACGGGGCCGUAUCCCCCGCCUGCCUCUGGAGCGACUCACAUACCUGCUCCACAUUCCUCACAUGCAGCCGCCUCACUGAGGAAUGACCAGUGGGACAGAAGGAGCUCAGUCUGCAGCUCUGACCAAGCCAGCAGAAACAUCAGGCGUCCCGUUCAUGUGAUCAUCCAUAAGAACAAGCCGUCAUUCACAGCAAACUGCAGCGUUUGAGAACAGAGAGAAGAGAAGUUACUGAGCAGACAUGAUCUCUGAGGUCAGGCUGGUGUGGAGCCCCGAGGAACAGCUGAAUCUUCAUCCAGCAUUAUAGGAGGUAAAUAUUCCCUCAUAGUGAGGAGCAUGAAGCGCUCAUUGAACCUGAACAGAACCUGAAUUCUGCUGCAUCUCUAAAACAUCAGAUCUGAACUUACCGAUGCAGAAAAUGCUUAUGUUCAUUCUUGAAGUUAAAUGUUUCUAUAAUCACAAACAUAGCUCCUCCUCUGAAGAUGGUGAAAAGCAUCAUGCUGCAGCAUCAUGGCUCCCCUCAGAGUCGAAUCCAUCAUUUUAUCUUGAUCAUCUCAUUCUUUGACUCUGCUGUGAAGCACGUCUGAAAUAAACCAGACGCCUGAGAGGAUUUCUCUCCUUAUUGAAUGAAACUCUGGACACCGUUGUCUGUUCUGUGGAUUUUAUGCCUCAGCGCUAAAGAGCCUGUUGAAUUAAUUAGCAUUUUCCCCUCCUGUGGUUAAAAGCCUGGUUUCUCCAUCAGAUUCUUUUUAAUUAGGUUUUUCCUACUCUUUUGUUUGUCUGAACCACUUGGAGCCAAACUGAUGCUCCACUCUGUUUAGAGUAAAGCAAAAUGGAGCCAUGAAACAUUUAUGUCCUGCUGGUUUUCCAACAUGUGCUCUGAUAAGGUGACUGUUCCUCCUGAAGUGACCCCUCUGGCUGAGGAGAGCUGAGGAAACCAUGAAGGAGGAGCAGAAUGAGGAGUAGGAGCCGUUCAAAGGAGAGCUACACCCUGUAAUUAUCCCAAUCACACCUUCUCCUCUGCUGUCUUCUGUUAUUGUUUUAUCCUCUUCACUUGUUGAACCCAGCUGCCACAUGAGCAGCUCU